rnacentral:pre_miRNA from 1 species
GGAAACUUAGAAAUUACCGUUGGAUCGAAAAAUGAACGUUCGAGAUUCAUCCACGUCACCAUAAGUAAAAAUUUUACUCUUAGUAAAACUUUUACUCAUAAGUAAAUCUACGAGUAAAACGUUUACUAAUGGUGACAUGGAUAAAUCUCGAACAUCCUUUUUUGAUCCAACGGUAGUUUCUAGGUUUCC